CAUGCAGUCGAACGAUGAACCGCUUUCGGGCGGGGAUUAGUGGCGAACGGGUGAGUAACACGUGGGCAAUCUGCCCUGCACUCUGGGACAAGCCCUGGAAACGGGGUCUAAUACCGGAUAUGACCGUCUGCCGCAUGGUGGAUGGUGUAAAGCUCCGGCGGUGCAGGAUGAGCCCGCGGCCUAUCAGCUUGUUGGUGAGGUAGUGGCUCACCAAGGCGACGACGGGUAGCCGGCCUGAGAGGGCGACCGGCCACACUGGGACUGAGACACGGCCCAGACUCCUACGGGAGGCAGCAGUGGGGAAUAUUGCACAAUGGGCGAAAGCCUGAUGCAGCGACGCCGCGUGAGGGAUGACGGCCUUCGGGUUGUAAACCUCUUUCAGCAGGGAAGAAGCGAAAGUGACGGUACCUGCAGAAGAAGCGCCGGCUAACUACGUGCCAGCAGCCGCGGUAAUACGUAGGGCGCAAGCGUUGUCCGGAAUUAUUGGGCGUAAAGAGCUCGUAGGCGGCUUGUCACGUCGGUUGUGAAAGCCCGGGGCUUAUCCCCGG
rnacentral:rRNA from 1 species